ensembl:lncRNA
UACCAGAGCCACAGCAAUGCGGGAUCCAAGCCACGUCUGCAACCUACACUGCAGUUCACGGCGAUGACGGAUCCUUAACCCACUGAGCAAGGCCAGGGAUCUAACCCGAAAUCUCAUGGUUCCUCGUCGGAUUCGUUACCACUGCGCCACGACAGGAACUCCGCAACAUUGUCAUUUUUAACUGACACCCACACCUCACCUGGGUGGAUGUGGAAAUACUCAUGGGAUUAUUUGAAUCGAAAGAUUGGUUAUUGAUUAUUACAGCUCGCUAAAUAUUCAUUUUUGAGAAUAUUUGCUUCUAUCAUCUAAAAGUUCCCAUACAAAGAGGGGGAUAUUUUCAGUGUAUGCCAGUACCUCUCCACUGAGGGAGAUUUUGUUUCUCUAUCCUCCCAACCCUCCUGGGGCCAGUUUUGACUGUCAGAUCUGCAAGAGGAAUGCUGCUCUCAUCUAAUGGUUAGAGACCAGAGAUUCUGCUAAACAUCCUACAGUGCACAGGACAGCCCCACAACCAAGAACUUCUCUGGCCCCACAUGUGGAUGGUGCCAAGUUGACAAACCUGGUGCACAUCAAGCUGAAGAGGUGCUGCUUUGCACUAACAUCAUACACAUGCCCAAGAAGUAGAGGAAGUCUGUCUGCAGUUAACUCUGGCACAUCCAGCUGGAUUACAGCCCCAACCCCCAGCAACAGCAACAGGUGGUAGUACCUGAGCCCCUUGCCCCUGCUACUCAGGAUGAGGAGACUGCACCUUACCAGAGAAGAGAGAGGGGAGGCCCUCAUGGGUGCUCGUUGAUUUAUCCAGUGGAUAUCAGAGUGGAGAUGGCCACAGAGAUGCAGAGAAAGAGUCUGGAUGGUGAGGAGGCCGGAGAUGAUUCACCCACAGCUGUGCCGUAUGGGUAAGUUAAGGGAGCUCUUUAGAC